rnacentral:rRNA from 1 species
UACGAAGGGUGCAAGCGUUAAUCGGAAUUACUGGGCGUAAAGCGUGCGCAGGCGGUUUGUUAAGCGAGAUGUGAAAGCCCCGGGCUCAACCUGGGAACCGCAUUUCGAACUGGCAAACUAGAGUCUUGUAGAGGGGGGUAGAAUUCCAGGUGUAGCGGUGAAAUGCGUAGAGAUCUGGAGGAAUACCGGUGGCGAAGGCGGCCCCCUGGACAAAGACUGACGCUCAGGCACGAAAGCGUGGGGAGCAAACAGG